rnacentral:rRNA from 1 species
AACGAACGCUGGCGGCAUGCCUAACACAUGCAAGUCGAACGACACCUUCGGGACUAGUGGCGCACGGGUGCGUCGCGCGUGGGAACCUGCCGUUAGGUUCGGAAUACUUCUCCGUCAGGGGUGCUAAUACCGGAUAAUGUCCUCGGAUCCCAGAUUUAUCGUCCUGGGAUGGGCCCGCGUUGGUUUAGCUUGUGGGUAGGGUAAAAGCCUAUCACGGCGUCGCUCCAUAGCUGGUCUGAGAGAAUGGUCAGCCACACUGGGACUGGGACACGGCCCAGACUCCUGCAGGAGGCAGCAGAGCGGAAUAUAGGACUAUGGGCUAAAUGCAGAAGCAGUAAGGCCGCGUGAGUCAUGAAGGCCGGAGAGAUGUAAAGCUCUUUUACCCGGGGCGAUAAUGACGGUACCGAAAGAAUAAGCACCGGCUAACUCCGUG